CGCAUCUGUGCAUGCAGCAUAUCAAUAAGCGGAGGAAAAGAAACUAACAAGGAUUCCCUUAGUAACGGCGAGUGAAGCGGGAAGAGCUCAAAUUGAAAUCUUCAAGGUUUUACCUUGACGAAUUGUAGUUUAAAGAAGUGUUUUCUGUUGAAGUUUUGGUAAAAGUUCUUUGGAAUAGGACAUCAUAGAGGGUGAGAAUCCCGUAUUUGACCAUUAUUUUCAGCUGUGUGAUACACUUUCAAAGAGUCGGAUUGUUUGGGAAUGCAGUCCAAAAUGGGUGGUAAAUUUCAUCUAAAGCUAAAUAUUGGCGAGAGACCGAUAGCGAACAAGUACCGUGAGGGAAAGAUGAAAAGAACUUUGAAAAGAGAGUUAAACAGUACGUGAAGUUGUCAAAAGGGAAGCGUUUGACACCAGUGUUGUUUUCUCGAAAAUCAAUUAAAAAGAGUUAGAUUUUGUUGUGUAUUGACCUUAACAGCUUGCAUUUCAAUUUUCUUGCUUUUUUUAAUGCACUUUUCGUUUAACAAGUCAACAUCAGUUUCUUUUGUUGUAAAAAGGUCAUUGGAAGGUGGCUUUCUUUUCGGAGAAAGUGUUUAUAGCCUUUGACUCCUGCAAUCGGAGAGACUGAGGUCUGCAGCGUAGAUCCUUCGGGGUUAGAUACAUUUGUGCUAAGUUAUAGCUUUUUAUAGACAACUUGUUGACUAUGAUUAGUCUUGUAGCUUACUCGCUUAUGCUAUUUUACCUACGCUUAGGAUGUUGAUGUGAUACUGCGAGCA
rnacentral:rRNA from 1 species